UCUUCGAUGGUCUAGUGGUCAUGAUUUCCGCUUGUCAAAACAAACGUUCUGAGAAGCGCGGGAGACCGGGGUUCGAUUCCCCGUCGGAGAG
rnacentral:tRNA from 1 species